rnacentral:lncRNA from 1 species
UGGCAGGGCUGCAUUAUGUGAGCAUUAGAGUCUCAUUGAAGUUGUCUGUUUCUGGAUCUGAAAGAAUAAGACCGGUCCAUUUCUCUUUCCCGUGGGGUUUGGAGGUAAUCCAGUCUAAACAUGGCAGAUGAAGAAAAUGAGUAAGCAGUUGAGGUUGAAGUCCCAGCAGAGGAAGGUAAAGCGUCCCAUGUGCUGUGAACUGCAUGUAUACAGCUCCAUAAAUAAUAGUAUUAUCAAGAUAUGGAUAUUGUACAGCUAGAGAUUCAGUUUGCUUCAGUGUUGAAAUACUCUAUAUUCCUAUGUCAUACAUGCUAGUUUCACAGAAUGCACUGUAACAUUUUGGCUCUAGU